GGAGUACUCAAAGAAAACAAGGCGGUUGCAGAGGAGUUCAUAAACUAUUUGAGUCAUUGUUUGCCAGUGGAUAUCCUGGAAAUGGAAGAGAUUUUGAUGAGAGAAUGGACGAAACUGAUAAAAUGAGCAGUAAGAAACCACUACGACCAGAUGGAAAUUGCUAACAGGUCACCCUGAAGAGGGCAUACUGCAGGAACGAACCUGGUCUCAAAGCCUGAAAACACCCUGCUUGCUAACAAACUCCAUAGCAGGUAAAGCAGAAUGGAUGCGUGCAGAUCCCCUGCCAGACUUUCUGUGACGGGAACAUUUCAGAAGGAAAAUGAAAUGCCUCUCUCCGGAGGCUCACAGGAAUUCUGCACCUCUACAGCCUUUUCUCAUGGAACCAACUUAGAGUUCAAACGUACUGUUAUCCCUCUCAUACUGCUGUAUUUCUACUGUUCAUCUUAUCAGGUGUCAUUUUUGCUCAUGAAUAACAGUCUAAAAUACAGGCUCCACUA